AGAAACCAACAGGGAUUGCCCUAGUAACGGCGAGUGAAGCGGCAACAGCUCAAAUUUGAAAUCUGGCGCAAGCCCGAGUUGUAAUUUGUAGAGGAUGCUUCUGGGUAGCGGCCGGUCUAAGUUCCUUGGAACAGGACGUCAUAGAGGGUGAGAAUCCCGUAUGUGACUGGCUUGCACCCUCCACGUAGCUCCUUCGACGAGUCGAGUUGUUUGGGAAUGCAGCUCUAAAUGGGAGGUAAAUUUCUUCUAAAGCUAAAUACCGGCCAGAGACCGAUAGCGCACAAGUAGAGUGAUCGAAAGAUGAAAAGCACUUUGGAAAGAGAGUUAAAAAGCACGUGAAAUUGUUGAAAGGGAAGCGCCCGCAACCAGACUUUGCGGCAGUGUUCGGCCGGUCUUCUGACCGGUUUACUCGCUGUCGUGAGGCCAUCAUCGUCUGGGACCGCUGGAUAAGACCUUAGGAAUGUAGCUCCCCUCGGGGAGUGUUAUAGCCUCUGGUGAUGCAGCGCGUCUCGGGCGAGGUCCGCGCUUCGGCAAGGAUGAUGGCGUAAUGGUUGUCGGCGGCCCGUCUUGAAACACGGACCAAGGAGUCUAACAUCUAUGCGAGUGUUCGGGUGUCAAACCCCUACGCGUAAUGAAAGUGAACGGAGGUGGGAACUUUUUGUGCACCAUCGACCGAUCCUGAUGUCCUCGGAUGGAUUUGAGUAAGAGCAUAGCUGUUGGGACCCGAAAGAUGGUGAACUAUGCCUGAAUAGGGUGAAGCCAGAGGAAACUCUGGUGGAGGCUCGCAGCGGUUCUGACGUGCAAAUCGAUCGUCAAAUUUGGGUAUAGGGGCGAAAGACUAAUCGA
rnacentral:rRNA from 1 species